GCGGGGAUCGUCAGAGUUCCUCCUCAGUGGCUCUGAGGGAACUAAUUCUCCACAGGUGUUUUAAAACCAAGCAGGAACCAGAUCUAUUUGUGAUGAAAAACUGUCCCGUCUUACUGGAUCUGGAGGGGGAAGGUGAGUUGCUCUGUCGGCCAUAUUGUCUUUCCCAUUCAUCUCUCUCUUUUUCACGUCGCUCACGCUCCCUAAACACAAAACUUUUAGGUCAGAGAGCUGCAAGACACAUGCACGCACACACAGUUACACACCAGAGUGUGCACAUAUGCACACUAGUGAGUACACAUCAUCACACACACAUACUUCAUACGGAUCUUGCGUGCCAUGGCUCGCAGCUCUCCCUCACGCUCCUGUAAAAUUAACAAGCAAUGAGGGGAAAUGACGGGGAAGGGUUGGUUUCAGCAUAGAUUCUCGCACACACACACACACACACACACACACACACACACACACACACACACACACACACACACACACACACACACACACACACACACA